rnacentral:snoRNA from 1 species
ACCUCAUGGUUUGGACAUUGUGUUAGUUUUUCGUUGAAUAUUUCCCACACUUCAUACAAGGGUUCUCCAUCCAAUUUCCCAAAGCUAAUGAUCUCAUCCCUCAAUUU